rnacentral:snRNA from 1 species
GUGCUUGUCUGGCAGCACAUAUAUUGAAAUGGGAAUGCCACAGAGAUGAGUGUGGCCUCUGCACAAGGCUGGUAACCCCAUGUGUGAAGGGUUCCCUAUGAGG